UUAAAAUUUUAUUAGCAUUGUCUGCAGAGCUCUGAAUGCGAACAGCUUCAGUGGACCAAUCCCGCCUUCCAUUGGUAAUUUGUCUAAUCUUUCAUGGCUAGAUUUAACUGAGAACCAGCUUAAUGGAACAAUUCCAGUCUCUAGUGGGAGCACAACUGGUCUGGAUAUGCUAGUUAAAGCAAGGCACUUAUUUUUUAUAUCAACAAACUCACUGGAAGCAUCCCUGACACACUAGGAUAUGUGCAGACUUUGGAGGCCAUAUGCUUCAAUUGGAAUUCAUUAAAUGGGGUUGUUCCUUCAAACCUCAACAACCUUACAAGUGUCAGGGAGCUGUAAGUACACACACAGAAAAUUUUCCAACUUCAUGUAGAAUUCAAGUUGUGUCAUUAAGAAAGUGUUUUGGUUAUGCCUUUUCAGGUACUUGUCGAACAAUAAUUUGAAUGGACCUUCGCCCAAUCUCACAGGGAUGAACUUUCUCAACUCUCUGGACAUGAGCAACAAUAGUUUCAAUUCAUCAGCUGUUCCUCUAUGGCAUACAAGCCUAGAGGCUUUGACGACAUUGAUAUUAAUCCACAAUUUGCCACCAUAGACAUCUACAUAAGGAUGUUUUCCAAUGUAAACCUGCAUUUCCAUUCCACUGAAUGAUUCCAUGUUGAUCACGACUCCUCUGUGAGCUUGUGACUGGCCCUGCAUUUCCAUUCCACUGUUGAACAAUUGAAG